AAGGAAUAUUGGACAAUGGACGGAAGUCUGAUCCAGCCAUGCCGCGUGAAGGAAGAAGGCGCUCAGCGUUGUAAACUUCUUUUGGGUGGGAACAAAAUGCGAGAUUUAUCUUGUACUGAGGGUACCAUCAGAAUAAGCACCGGCUAACUCCGUGCCAGCAGCCGCGGUAAUACGGAGGGUGCAAGCGUUAUCCGGAAUCACUGGGUUUAAAGGGUGCGUAGGCGGUGGCGUAAGUCAGUUGUGAAAUUCCCCGGCUUAACCGGCGGGAGUGCGAUUGAUACUGUGUCACUUGAAUGAGGUUGAGGUAGGCGGAAUGUGGCAUGUAGCGGUGAAAUGCAUAGAUAUGCCAUAGAACACCGAUUGCGAAGGCAGCUUGCUGGACCUUCAUUGACGCUGAGGCACGAAAGCGUGGGGAGCAAAC
rnacentral:rRNA from 1 species